GUCUACGGCCAACCUGAAAAAGCUCGAUCCCAACUGAUCUUGGAAGCUAAGCAGGGACGGUCUUGGUUAGUACUUGGAUGGGAGACCACAUAGGAAGACUGGGUGCUGUAGGCA
rnacentral:rRNA from 1 species